AGCUUUGUGCUUACUGUGGAGAGUGCAGGUGCAGGCAGCCACAAGAGCCUACCUGCAGCAUGGCUGCCUGGUGCCUCAUCUAGAAGCACCUUUGGUUCAGGCUGUGUGUUGCUUGAGAACUGAGGUGGAUCACCCAGUGUCAUCAGCUGGAUUUGGUUUUGCAAGUGAGUUGUUACAGAAAGUAGAUGAGCUCUGAGGGCUGUUACUCCUCUUCAGAUUCACCUGUGUCUCAGAAGACCCAUUGUAUACAGUUGUCCUCUGGUUUUGGAGCAUACCCCAACAAAACAGCAGUUCUGCAGAAUGCUGAGGACAGGAGGGAGCAGAUUUCUUCUGGAGUAAAGAGGCGUAAAAGGGGAGAGAGUGGACGUGCUAAGAGCCAUAGGUGCAGCUCCCUGUGCUUCCUUGUGAGUGAAAUCCAAGGAUCAGGAGUUUGCAUCCUCACCAAAGUCCCACAGCAGAAUUGAACUUUAGGAAAGCAAGUCCUGGGCACACAAGCCAUGCCAGAGGCACAUGAAGGAAACACUGGUCUGGCACCAGGGCAAGGAUUGAUAGAAAAAAGAACCUGGAAGUAAGAU